rnacentral:lncRNA from 1 species
AUGCUCUUUUCAGUAUUUGUUAUGUGGUGCAAUGGGAAGAGAACUAGUAAAAAGGAGAAGAAGGAAAUUGGAAAAGUUGAAAGUCUGAUAGGGGACUAAGUUUUGGUGAUCUGUUGCAUAGCAUGGCGACAUUAUUAUAUAGAUGUAUUUCUGGCAGGCUUGAUUGCCUAUUACAUGGUAAGUCAACAUACACUAAGACACUGGGGGCUGCUGCAGAGAAAGAGAUUUAAUCCCAAGGCAAUUAAAUGAGAAGACAGGA